rnacentral:rRNA from 1 species
UACAGAGGGUGCAAGCGUUAAUCGGAUUUACUGGGCGUAAAGGGCGCGUAGGCGGCCAGCACAAGUCAGUUGUGAAAUCUCCGAGCUUAACUCGGAAAGGUCAACUGAUACUGUGCGGCUAGAGUGCGGAAGGGGCAACUGGAAUUCUUGGUGUAGCGGUGAAAUGCGUAGAUAUCAAGAGGAACACCUGCGGCGAAGGCGGGUUGCUGGGCCGACACUGACGCUGAGGCGCGAAAGCCAGGGGAGCGAACGGG